UCUCCGUAGGUGAACCAGCGGAAGGAUCAUUAUAGAAUUACAGAACUCCCAAACCUGUCGCUACGCCGCCAGGAUGUGCACGCGCGCGUGCCCCCCCCCCGCUCCCUCUGCCCCCUAUGUGCCCCCCCGCGACCCAACACACUCGGCAUUUUUGGUGGCGGGCCUAAGUUUUCUCAACAACAUAGUACGCAAUGUUGAACGUCUUUUUUGUUGUUGCGAUCACGCAAUCAAAACACAUUUCAACAACGGAUCUCAUGGCUCUCGCCUCGUCGAUGAACC
rnacentral:misc_RNA from 1 species